AUAGCAAAAGCAUUUUCAUUAGGGAAACAUUCCAGCUUUUUCCUGGCUCUGAAGACAAUGUAAUUGGGCUUGCCACAGGUGGAAGAUGGGAGCUACUCUGCCCGCAGGCAGAAGGCCUCCCCACUCCCUCUUCCUCCCAGCUUGAUGUGGUUAGCUAAUCACUGCCAAGGAUGUUAUUCACUUCCCUCAGGGGCGGCCCCUCACACAGACCUCUCCUUUGUCUCACUCACCCCUGGAAAUCUGCCCACCUCCACUCUCAGCCUCACAUGUACUUUCCUGAGAUCUCCGGCUCUGUCUGUCACCAGCACAGUGGGGAUGAAAUUCAUUAUUCUAAACUCUCGAGUCUCAGCCACGCUCUGGCAGCUGGACGGGUGGCAAGGGAAAUGCCUUACUGCUGGCUUCAUUGUUUCACGGAACUUGGUCAUGGUCUCAGAGGUGCAGCCUCUUUUCUCCUGUUGGUUCCACCAAAAAAGGGGCCUCCAGAGGCAGUCCAUGUGAGCUGGACAAGUGACUGCUCCCAAAAUUCCAAAGCCCUCCUUUUUCCAAUUCUUUGUGAGCUAUAGCAUGAAGAUGGGGAUUUUGUCAUGCAUUUAUUCAGUGAACAUAUCUGAGCAUCUACUGUGUACCAGGCACUGGGGUUCUAGCAGGGUCCAUUUAUGUUCUUUCACUCUCAGUACCAAGCCCAGUGCUUGGCAUAUGGUAGGUGCAUAAUUUACAUUUGUUGGAUGGAUGGAUGGAUUGAUGACAGACAGAUGAAUGUAUGAAUGUGCAGAUGGAUGGAUGGAUGGGUAGGUGGGGAGGUGGGUGGAUGGAUGUGUGGAAUAAGCUCUACACAGAAGGGUGUAGGCUUAUAAAGAAGAUAUAGUUGCCAUCUCAAAGGUGUCCAUCCUCUAGGAAGACUUUGCUUAUGCCACCCUAUACUGUAGUUACACAAGUGGAAGGAGCAAGGGAUGGGAGUAGGAAGAGAGAGUUAGGGAGGCAGGUGUUACAUCUGGCUGGGGCAUUUCAGGCAGAACAUUAGGGGAAACCCUUCCCAACCACCUCAAGUCCAGCAGGAGAAGCAGUGCCCAUCCCGACACUUCAUGAAAAUAAUCAGCCCAAGCGUCCUUGUUAGGGGUGACCACAGGGCCUCAGGGGCCCCUGGGGUGGGCCCUGUCAUCAUCUGGUUAGGCCAAGGUGCCUUCAGAACAGCAAUGCUUCAAGGUGUCCACCGAGGCAGUGGGUCCACUGUGCUUUAGCAGGUCACGGCAGGUGGACACACUUCAGAGUGCCCACUUCAUCAGGCCACCCCACUGCAGAAUCCUCAGCCCACUGGGCUUCAGCCUCCACAUGCCGCCUUUCAGCUCAUGCAUCAUGCACCCCUCUUCCAUGUGGGCCCCUCCUUCCCCACCUGCACACGUCCUCAGCAGGUGCACACCAAAUCAGGUGCUGUCAGUGCCUAGACCCACCUAAUCAGAUCCAGUUCCAGCCCACCCUGGACACAGAAAGCCAGGCCAGAUCCACUGCCUUAAAAUCCAGUCUCAUUUUUAGUAACUGGAACACUGAGGCAGGUGGGUGCCUCCCAGGGCCCUCCCGUGUCCCGGUAGAAUGGCUGGAGACCGAGUGUCCCCAUACAUGGAUGGCGCAGCCACAUUCAGCUGAGGAUUGGAACCUGCUCAAAAUGUUUGUUUCCUGUUUAAUCGGUGGUAAUAAAAAGUCAUGGAUUCCAACCAAAAUACAUUCCACUCCUUCAGCCCUGGUUUGUCAAAAUUGCUUCUCUCUGAAGCUCCAACCUCAGGGCUGUGGGAGCCUGUGGUUGACUGGCAGGCUGAUCGCGCACAAUAUCAUAUCGGGUCAGAAUCACCCCAUUGGCCUCCACCUGCCAACCUUGGAAAGAAAUUCAAGACCUCGUGCAAAAUGAACAAAACUCAUCCAGAACGAUGUCCACAGGCCCCUGAUGGCUCCCCAGGCCUCACUGAAGCAGGGAAGGGCAGAGUGAGGCACUGUGGGCAAGAGAAGAGCCCUGCCCUUAUGGAGAGCAGCUGGCCAGACAGACAUUAAACACAUGAUAAUACACAGAAACAUGUGAUUACAGGGAGUGAAGAAUGCAACAAAGAAAUAAUACUUUGAAAUAUCGCCUUCUCUUUCUGGACUUCUUUGGAAUACAGCCAGUCAGAGCAUAGCUCUAAGACCAAGAGUAAGCAAUGCCUUUUGAAAUAUUCUGUUUGAAAUCAGAGCCCUUCCCCACUGCAGUCAAUUGCGGGCACAAAUAUUCCUUUUGUUCACAGACCACAUCCUGUGUUCCCCAGGGCCUCACCCUGAGCUGAUCCCAGGAUGACCUAGAAGAGGCAUGUUUUACUGAAAUCGUUUCUAAAACUUACACUAAAGCUACAAUAUCUGAACGCAUGGUAAGGACACACAUUUUCAAGUUUCUCUUUGGGUCACAGGUGUGCUGCUUUCUACAUCAAUUUGUCAGGAAGACAAAUCUUUUAGUGUCGGGAAGAAAAGCAGCAAGAUGAAAAAGAAAAAAAAAAGAAGAUAUUUCAAGAUCAGAUUCUUCAUCCUACUUUUCUGACUUGCCAGAAGCUAACGACAUCUUUCCUAGCAGUGACUGGCAACCACUCUGAAAACUUCACCAAAUUAUUACUCCUUUAUUUUUUUGAAAAAACAGGCAAGUGUAUUUAGUUGUCAUUGGUUACAACCAAAUUUCUCUAAAUAUUUCAGUGCAUCUCAAAAUACUAUAUUGAUAAGUUCAAGUCAUAAAAAACUGCAUUAGGAGUUUUGGAAAAUUUACUGGUAGGAUUAUGCAUGUUUUUCUUCCAUUUGAGUUCUCCUCUGAAUGCAUGUUUAUUUAAAGAAAAAUUGUGGUAUUUGGAAGAUUGAAGACUGACUUCUAAACUGUGCUGACUUCAGGAAGACCUACUUUUGGCCAGGCACAGAGGCUCAUGCCUGUAAUCCCAGCACCUUGGGAGGCUGAGGAGG
rnacentral:lncRNA from 1 species